UUCAAAGUUCAUAUCUAAAUGCAAUAGAAAUAAGACGAAGAGGCUAGAAUCAAAUCUAGCUACAUCUAACGUUCACUCGCUCCCAGCCCCGCCCUGCGAAUCGGUCUCAGUAUCUGGGUAAGCAACCAUAUACCACAUUAGUCGGAUUAAGCAUACAAAUAAAUAAGUACACAAAUUAAUUUAAGCGACAGGUUUUUAAUUUGCAAAAUUUUAGAAAAUAAGAAUUUAUCAAAACUUAAAAUUAAUAUCGGAUUGAAACUAUAAUUUUACAAAGCGUUUUUCUUUCAACACAUAAACAAAGUAAACAUUAAGUCCCCGGUACUUAACUAUAUCGUAUGAUCCGUUGGUGAGAUCCAAAGACACCCGAAGGCAUAAACAAAACAGAGGCACCCGAAGGUGCAACAAAACAAAGGCGCGGAUAAGCGCAGGCACCCGAAGGCGCAAACAAAACAGAGGCGCGGAUAGGCACAGGCACCCGAAGGCGCAAUACAAAGACGAAGCUUGCUUCUAUAACAAAAUACAUGUCGACAUGGCCAACAUAGCAUAGCAGAAUACCAGGAGACAUCAUAAUUCAAAAAUUAUCCAGUCACUAAUUUACAAAACAGAAAACAGAUUAUCAAAUUUCAAAAAGUUUAUUUUGCUAAAAGGAUCUGUCAAUCACAGUUGAAGCUCAAUUUACAGAAAUAUUUAAUAAUAUGCUUAACCCUUAAUUUUAAAAUCUACAAAAUAAGAUUUUCAUUCAAUCGGAAUAUUUUUNGUCGCUUACCUUAACGCGGCUUCAAAGAUGAAAUUUAUCCAGUCAAAACUGUGCAGAAAAUCGAUCGUCCGAACCUAAAAUAGAGACACGCAAUUCUCUAUAAGCUAUCUAAAAUGAACAUGCAAGGAUAAUAUAAUGGCAUGCAAAUAGGUCGGGAUGGAGCACAAGGGAUUUGGAACAAUAAAUUCAACGAACCUCAAAUAGCGAUCAAAAGGAUGAAGGAGUUUUUGAAGGAUUUGGAUUAUUCCAAGAAGAUAACAUGAACGGAAAUUUAUUAGUAAACGAAAGAUCUAAUGCUCGAAAAGAGGUUUUAUCACAUAUAUAAAACAAAUUUUACAAUUUACAAUCGAAUGAGAUCAAAAUUAGAAACAAAACGAAAUUCGCCCUCUCUUAGGCAUUUCAUCGAACAUAUAAUGGGCAUUCCAAAAAUGUGUAAAAUGUGUGAAGUUUAUACAACUAGAUUUUAUGGAGGAUGAGAGAUAUAAAAUUUGACAGUUCAAACGGCAAGAACAGAUCACAAUGAAUCAGAUUUCUAAUGGUUUAAUCCCAAACAUUAAAAUAUAGGUAUUCAAAAUAACCAUACAACAAUGAAUAAAGAAUCAGAUCUUAUCAAGAAUAAAUAUAAGGAAAUAAAAGAAAAGACCUUGAAGGCGGAAAGACGAUGACGAAUCAAAUUAUCGGUGGAUGAGGAUUGCUGUGGAGGCGGCUACGGGUGGUGGCGACGACGGCUAUGAUCGGAGGGCGUCACGCACGGACGGGCGAACAGUGGAGGCCGUACGGACGUGGAGAGGAGAGGGAUCGAGCGGGAGAGAGAGAUGGUCGAAUGAGGGAGAGAGAUAGA
rnacentral:lncRNA from 1 species